rnacentral:rRNA from 1 species
UACGUAGGGUGCGAGCGUUGUCCGGAAUUAUUGGGCGUAAAGAGCUCGUAGGUGGCGGGUCACGUCGGGUGUGAAAGCCCGGGGCUUAACUCCGGGUCUGCAUUCGAUACGGGUCUGCUGGGGUCCGGCAGGGGAGACUGGAAUUCCUGGUGUAGCGGUGAAAUGACGCAGAUAUCAGGAGGAACACCGGUGGCGAAGGCGGGUCUCUGGGCCGGUACCGACGCUGAGGAGCGAAAGCGUGGGGAGCGAACAGG